rnacentral:rRNA from 1 species
AGAGUUUGAUCAUGGCUCAGGACGAACGCUGGCGGCGUGCUUAACACAUGCAAGUCGGACGGAAAGGCCCUUCGGGGUACUCGAGUGGCGAACGGGUGAGUAACACGUGGGUGAUCUGCCCUGCACUUUGGGAUAAGCCUGGGAAACUGGGUCUAAUACCGAAUAUGACCACGCUCCUCAUGGGGUGUGGUGGAAAGCCUUUGCGGUGUGGGAUGGGCCCGCGGCCUAUCAGCUUGUUGGUGGGGUAAUGGCCUACCAAGGCGACGACGGGUAGCCGGCCUGAGAGGGUGACCGGCCACACUGGGACUGAGAUACGGCCCAGACUCCUACGGGAGGCAGCAGUGGGGAAUAUUGCACAAUGGGCGCAAGCCUGAUGCAGCGACGCCGCGUGAGGGAUGACGGCCUUCGGGUUGUAAACCUCUUUCACCAGGGACGAAGCGCAAGUGACGGUACCUGGAGAAGAAGCACCGGCCAACUACGUGCCAGCAGCCGCGGUAAUACGUAGGGUGCGAGCGUUGUCCGGAAUUACUGGGCGUAAAGAGCUCGUAGGUGGUUUGUCGCGUUGUUCGUGAAAACUCACAGCUUAACUGUGGGCGUGCGGGCGAUACGGGCAGACUAGAGUACUGCAGGGGAGACUGGAAUUCCUGGUGUAGCGGUGGAAUGCGCAGAUAUCAGGAGGAACACCGGUGGCGAAGGCGGGUCUCUGGGCAGUAACUGACGCUGAGGAGCGAAAGCGUGGGGAGCGAACAGGAUUAGAUACCCCGGUAGUCCAA